UACAGAGGGUGCGAGCGUUAAUCGGAAUUACUGGGCGUAAAGCGUGCGUAGACGGUUACAUAAGUCGGAUGUGAAAGCCCCGGGCUCAACCUGGGAAUUGCAUUCGAGACUGUGUAGCUAGGAUGCGGAAGAGGGAAGCGGAAUUUCCGGUGUAGCGGUGAAAUGCGUAGAUAUCGGAAGGAACACCAGUGGCGAAAGCGGCUUCCUGGUCCAGCAUCGACGUUCAGGCACGAAAGCGUGGGGAGCAAACAGG
rnacentral:rRNA from 1 species